rnacentral:rRNA from 1 species
CCCAAGAGAGCGGGUGGUAUUGGCUUUCGCGAUAUGCAGAUUUUUAACCAAGCACUCCUUGCGAGACAGGGUUGGCGAUUGCUUCAGAAACCCAACAGCCUGUGUGCUAGAGUCCUCAAGUCAAAAUACUACCCGAAGGAAGACCUACUGGAUACUGUGUUUGCUGCCGAUGCUUCCCAAGCAUGGAGGGGUAUUGAACACGGCCUAGAGCUGCUGAAAAAAGGCCUAAUCUGGAGGGUUGGCAAUGGAAAGAGAAUUCAGAUUAGUAGAGAUCAAUGGGUCCCACGGAGAAGUGGCCUGAAAACUACGGGUUUCAAGAGGCGUUCAAGACUGAGGUGGGUAAAUCAACUUCUGAAUGGAAACAGGAGAGAGUGGGACGAGGCACUCAUACACCAAUUGUUUCACCCUCAUGAUGCAGAGGAGAUAUGUAAGAUUAAAAUUCUUAGAAGCGAAGUGGAGGACUGCGUCGCAUGGCAUGAAGAGAAGUCUGGUGUGUUUACUGUCCGGAGUGCAUACAAGCUGGGUGCAAACCUCAAACAGCAGAACAAUGCGCUGGCAUCGAGCUCAAGGAAUGAUGCAGAUGAUAGAAGUAUUUGGGAUCUCAUAUGGAAAACUAAGGUACCAGGAAAGUAA